rnacentral:rRNA from 1 species
UCGAGAAUCUUCGGCAAUGGGCGCAAGCCUGACCGAGCGACGCCGCGUGGAGGAUGAAGGCCUUCGGGUUGUAAACUCCUGUCGAGGGGGAAGAAGGUCCGCAAGGGCUUGACUGAUCCCUGGAGGAAGCACGGGCUAAGUUCGUGCCAGCAGCCGCGGUAAGACGAACCGUGCGAACGUUAUUCGGAAUCACUGGGCUUAAAGCGCGUGUAGGUGGGACGGUACGUCCGACGCUGAAAUCCCCCGGCUCAACCGGGGAACGGGCGCGGAUACGGCCGCCCUCGAGGAACGUAGGGGGAGCUGGAACUUCCGGUGGAGCGGUGAAAUGCGUUGAGAUCGGAAGGAACGCCCGUGGCGAAAGCGAGCUCCUGGACGUUUUCUGACACUGAGACGCGAAAGCCAGGGGAGCGAACG